rnacentral:lncRNA from 1 species
GAAAAAAGUCCAUUUUUUUCUUGUCCCCUAAGGUGAAAAUACACAUUGUUGAGUGUCACGCCUGUACGCUUUGUCAAAAUGACACAAAAAUUGACACACACAUGUAUCUCAAUAAGAUCUACAAAAAAGUCAGUGCGCGCGUAUCUGUCAAAUGUACGGUUAAAGGGUUAUUCCGCAUUUUUUGCCGAUUCGCACACAUUGGAAUUUCGCUAACUCCUCCGAAGGCUUUCGUUCCACCGGCACCACAUUUGCUCAGGCCAAUCUACACCCCAUGGCCAUUAAAAGUUAUUCAAAUCAUGACGCUGCACCCCACGGUUUACGUUCUAGGGGGCGCCAAAGAUAACCCAAAAAUCCACAUUUUUAAAAGUCUUUUAACUUUUUAUUUUUGUCCUCACUGGCCUCCAAGUUUUCUAGGAUGAUGCAAUGUCCAGCCAUCAACACAUUUGUGAAGGAAUUUUUACUCCCCAAAAGAGUGCCCCCCCCCAUGGCAGGAGAAAAAAGUCCAUUUUUUCUUGUCCCCUAAGGUGAAAAUACACAUUGUUGACUGUCACGCCUGUACGCUUUGGCAAAAUGACACAAAAAUUGACAAUCAUGUGUAUCUCAAUUAGAUCUACGAAAAAGUCAAAGAGCGCGUAUCUGUAUAAUGUACGGUAAAAGGGCUAUUUUGCAUUUUUUGCCGAUUCGCACACAUUGGAAUUUCGCUAACUCCUCCUAAGGCUUUCGUCCCACUGACACCAAAUUUGCUCAGGCCAAUCUACACUCCAUGGCCAUUCAAAGUUGUAAAAAUCAUGACGCUGCACCCCACGGUUUACGUUUUAGGGGGCGCCAAAGAUGACCCAAAUAUACAUUACAGUAGACAAAGUAGUUUUGCCCACUGAGUGGCGCCAAAGGGACUUGUCUGUGGAGUCUGUGAGUCACUAUUGGCCGUUUUUGACUACUUUAGAUUUUACCUUUAUAUUUCCUCUUACAAAAUUUUUACCUUGCCUUGCCUGGUAUCAUUUUUUUCAGCACAACCUCACCUGUGUCAAUUUACAGUUAUUUUAUCAUUUUGACAUACUAUAUUUACACAUUGGACCCAAAUUCACACACAAAACAUAAAAUCCGAGUGGAAAAAAGUAACGUUUUUACUGUGAAAACCACAAAUAUGUGUGAUGAACUGUUUUUAAAACUUAAACUUCAAAUAAAAAUUGUAAACUUCAAAACAUAUGCAAAUUUUUAACAAAGAACAUAGUAAUUUACCUCUAUUGACAUCAAAAUGCAGGCAAUGGCCCAGGUGUUCUUUGUAAAAUUAUUUACAAAACACUGUAUAGUCUCACAAAUGUCACUUUAUAUUUAUGCCACUACAAAAAAACAUGAUGUAAAUGAUGCAUGAUGUAAAACAUGAUGUAAAAAACUUGUGUAGAUCCUCCUCUAUGUUAGUCCAUGUGUAAUUUUUCCAUAAUUCUUUGUUUUUUGCAGCAUUUUUGUUAGUGUAACUGCAGAUUGUGCUGACAGUGUCUAUGGCAAAAAAAAAAAAAAAAAACUGAAAAUGCCUCAACAUGAACCCCUGGUGGUCUCUGAGGGUGAAACCUGCUAACUGCUGCAGCUCUGUCAGCUUCAGUCUCCCAUGCAGAGCUCGGAGCGCAUGUGUGGCUCUGCACCCUUAGCAGCGUUGCUAACUCCUCAGUAAGGAAAGCCUGCUUCAUGUCAGAGUCUCUAAACUCCAGAAGAAGUCGAUAAAAGUCACUUUCUUUCUAAAAAAAAGUCGUUAGGGGGUCUGAAAAGUCAUUGAAUCUAACAACAAAGUCGCUAGGUUUGCAACUACGUGUCCCAGACUGCAUCCCUGCUGAGAGUCCCUCCCUCCCUUCUCAUAUUGCAGGAAGAACGUAAGUUCCCGCCCCUUGUCAAUCAGUCACCAUAUAAUUUUGGAUUGGUUGUUGUGGUGAAGUUUUCCACCAAUAGGAGAGAUGUUGUGGUGUGUUUUUUUUUUUCCUUUGGCAAGCCUUUUCCGCCUGUAAGACCUGUCGCUAAUGUCUGCAUGCUAUGUUUUCCUGUCUCAUACAGCGCGAUCGAGCGCCGAACGUGAUCAAAAUAAGCAGAAAACAAGUAUCGUGGACAUAAUUUAUCAUAACUCUGGUUUUAUUUGGCCUAUCAACACAAUUUAAAAACUGGUAUAUAGGUUGAGGUCCUCACUUUUGAGAUAAAUUGAAACGGAGAGUCAACAAGGCUCCGUCUUGCAGCUACAUCCGGUUAAAUAUGUCAUGUGACUUGAACGCGCGCACACACACACACACACACACACACACACACACACACACACACACACACACACGCACACACACACACACUCAGAGUCUGGUUUUUAGCACCUGCAAAAACAUGCUAUUUACAUAUUUGACAAGAAUGCAGAGGCUCCUUUUGCCCCUGAAAAAAAUCAAAUUUCAAACACAACUUGACUGCUCAUUUCUCCAAAAGACAACCAUGAAGCUCCAUCCAAACCUGAAGCAGGCAGUUGGUGCAUGUGUACAGUAACCUGAGGGGAGUGAGGUGACUGCUUCUGAGGAGAACAUGAGCAGUGAAGAUUCACCUUAGAGCUAGAACAGAGACGUGCACAUGAUUAUACAGGGGCAGGGGCUCAAGUUUUUUCCAGUUGUUUAUACAAUAUGGAAAUUAAUGUGAAAUUAAAAAACAAAGUAUUAAUAGAAAGGUAAUGACUGUCCUGUGUAGGUGACAGUGAUAUCCAAUAGGCUAGGCACUCACGAGGCUGGCUGUGGCAAGUGUAAGUGAAAGCAACACGCACUGGCAGGAAGAACAGCAAACGCCGAUGAAGGAAAAGGGUCUUUGCAGUGAUGGGCGUUACCAGAGAGGGCGAUGGCCAGAGGACACAAAUGGGACGGGGAGGCAGCGCGUUGGGGGGGGGACGCGACACAGCUCGGGCCCGCCAGUGCCCCAACGGGGUCCUAGUUAUUUUUCCUCCGCUUUAAACUGGAAAAUGGCCCACUUCCCACUGGCGAAAACUCAGGAAAUUUGGCAGGACGACCGGGCCUGGUGAAAAAUUCGAUAUUCUGAAGUCGCCCAAACAAUAAAAUGCAAAAUGGCUCCAUAGCGCCCCCUAAGGUGAAAAUUCACAUGACGGCUGUACGCUUUGUCAUAUUGACACAAAAAUUGACACACACAUGUAUCUCAAUAAGAUCUACAAAAAAGUCAGUGCGGGCGUAUCUGUCAAAUGUACGGUUAAUGGGUUAUUUUGCAUUUUUUGCAGAUCUGCACACAUUGGAAUUUCGCUAACUCCUCCGAAGGCUUUUGUUCGACCGGCACCACAUUUGCGCAGGCCAAUCUACCCCCCAUGGCCAUUAAAAGUUGUACAAAUCAUGACGCUGCACCCCACGGUUUACGUUCUAGGGGGCGCCAAAGAUAACCCUAAAAUCCACAUAUUUAAAAGUCUUAUAACUUUUUAUUUUUGUCCUCACUGGCCUCCAAGUUUUCUAGGAUGAUGCAAUGUCCAGCCAUCAACACAUUUGUGAAGGAAUUUUUACUCCCCAAAAGAGCGCCCCCCCAUGGCAGGAGAAAAAAGUCAUUUUUUUCUUGUCCCCUUACAUGAAAAUACACAUUGUUGAGUGUCAUGCCUGAACGCUUUGUCAUAUUGACACAAAAAUUGACAAUCACGUGUAUCUCAAUUAGAUCUACGAAAAAGUCAAAAAGCUUGUAUCUGUAUAAUUUACGGUUAAAGGGCUAUUUCGCAUUUUUUGCCAAUUCGCACACAUUGGAAUGUGGCUAUCUCCUCCUAAGGCUUUCGUCCCACCGAUACCAAAUUUGCUCAGGGCAAUCUAAACCCCAUGCCCAUUCAAAGUUGUAAAAAUCAUGACGCUGCACUCCACGGUUUACGUUCUAGGGGGCACCAAAGAUGACCCAAAAAUCCACAUUCUUAAAAGUCAUUUUGGCCACUGCAGGAGUACAGAGUACUGCAGUUCUAGGGGGCGCCAAAGAUGACCCAAAAAUCCACAUUCUUAAAAGUCUUUUUGGCCACUGCAGGAGUACAGAGUACUGCAGGAUACACACACACACACACACACACACACACACACACACACACACACACACACACACACACACUCAGAGUCUGUUUUUUAGCACCUGCAAAAACAUGCUGUUUACAUAUUUGACAAGAAUGCAGAGGCUUCCUUUUGCCCCUGAAAAAAAUCAGAUUUCAAACACAACUUGACUGUUCAUUUCUCCAAAAGACAACCAUGAAGCUCCAUCCAAACCUGAAGCAGAUAGUUGGUGCAUGUGUACAGUAACCUGAGGGGAGUGAGGUGACUAUUUCUGAGGAGAACAUGAGCAGUGAAGAUUCACCUUGGAGCUAGAACAGGGACGUGCACAUGAUUAUACAGGGGCAGGGGCUCAAGUUUUUUCCAGUCAUUUAUACAAUAUGGAAAUUAAUGUGAAAUUAAAACACAAAUAUGUGUGAUGAACUGUUUUUAAAACUUAAACUUCAAAUAAAAAUUGUAAACUUCAAAACAUAUGCAAAUUUUUAACAAAGAACAUAGUAAUUUACCUCUAUUUACAUCAAAAUGCAGGCAAUGGCCCAGGCGUUCUUUGUAAAAUUAUUUACAAAACACUGUAUAGUCUCACAAAUGUCACUUUUUAUUUAUGCCACUACAAAAAACAUGAUGUAAAUGAUGCAUGAUGUAAAACAUGAUGUAAAAAACUUGUGUAGAUCCUCCUCUAUGUCAGUCCAUGUGUAAUUUUUCCAUAAUUCUUUGUUUUUUGCAGCAUUUUUGUUAGUGUAACUGCAGAUUGUGCUGACAGUGUCUAUGGCACAAAAAAAAAAUAAUUAAAAUGCCUCAACAAGAACCCCUGGUGGUCUCUGAGGGUGAAACCUGCUAACUGCUGCAGCUCUGUCAGCUUCAGUCUCCCAUGCAGAGCUCUGAGCGCAUGUGUGGCUCUACACCCUUAGCAGCGUUGCUAACUCCUCAGUAAGGAAAGCCUGCUUCAUGUCAGAGUCUCUAAACUCCAGAAGAAGUCGAUAAAAGUCCCUUUCUUUCUAAAAAAAGUCGUUAGGGGGUCUGAAAAGUCAUUGAAUCUAACAACAAAGUCGCUAGGUUUGCAACUACGUGUCCCAGACUGCAUCCCUGCUGAGAGUCCCUCCCUCCCUUCUCAUGUUGCAGGAAGAACGUAAGCGCCCGCCCCUUGUCAAUCAGUCACCAUAUAAUUUUGGAUUGGUUGUUGUGGUGAAGUUUUCCACCAAUAGGAGAGAUGUUGUGGUGUGUUUUUUUUUUCUUUUGGCAAGCCUUUUCCGCCUGUAAGACCUGUCGCUAAUGUCUGCAUGCUAUGUUUUCCUGUCUCAUACAGCGCGAUCGAGCACCGAACGUGAUCAAAAUAAGCAGAAAAAAAGUAUCGCGGACAUAAUUUAUCAUAACUCUGGUUUUAUUUGGCCUAUCAACACAAUUUAAAAACUGGUAUAUAGGUUGAGGUCCUCACUUUUGAGAUAAGUUGAAACGGAGAGUCAACGAGGCUCCGUCUUGCAGCUACAUCCGGUUAAAUAUGUCAUGUGACUUGAACGCACACACACACACACACACGCACACACACACACACACUCAGAGUCUGGUUUUUAGCACCUGCAAAAACAUGCUAUUUACAUAUUUGACAAGAAUGCAGAGGCUCCUUUUGCCCCUGAAAAAAAUCAAAUUUCAAACACAACUUGACUGCUCAUUUCUCCAAAAGACAACCAUGAAGCUCCAUCCAAACCUGAAGCAGGCAGUUGGUGCAUGUGUACAGUAACCUGAGGGGAGUGAGGUGAGUGCUUCUGAGGAGAACAUGAGCAGUGAAGAUUCACCUUGGAGCUAGAACAGAGACAUGCACAUGAUUAUACAGGGGCAGGGGCUCAAGUUUUUUCCAGUCGUUUAUACAAUAUGGAAAUUAAUGUGAAAUUAAAACACAAAGUAUAAAUAGAAAGGUAAUGACUGUCCUGUGUAGGUGACAGUGAUAUCCAAUAGGCUAGGCACUCACGAGGCUGGCUGUGGCAAGUGUAAGUGAAAGCAACACGCACUGGCAGGAAGAACAGCAAACGCCGAUGAAGGAAAAGGGUCUUUGCAGUGAUGGGCGUUACCAGAGAGGGCGAUGGCCAGAGGACACAAAUGGGACGGGAAGGCAGCACGUUGGGGGGGGGGGACGCGACACGGCUCGGGCCCGCCAGUGCCCCAACGGGGUCCUAGUUAGGGCCCGAGCGUAGCUGCUAAGCAGCUGCGAGAGCCCUCUUGUUCCUGCAUGUUUCCUUCUUUUGUUAUUAUUAGGGCCCGAGCGUAGCUGCUAAGCAGCUGCGAGAGCCCUCUUGUUCCUGUAGUUUCCUUCUUUUGUUAUUAUUAGGGCCCGAGCCAGCUGCAGAGCAGCCGGGCGUAGGCCCUAUUAUUCCCCAAGUGGUUUUUCUUUGUUUCUUUCUUUAGGGCCCGAGCGUAGCUGCUAAGCAGCUGCGAGAGCCCUAUUAUUCCCCAAGGGGUUUUUCUUUGUUUCUUUCUUUCUUCUUUUUCCUCCCCUUUGAACUGGAAAAUGGCCCACUUCCCACUGGCGAAAACUCAUGAAAUUUGGCAGGAUGACCGGGCCUGGUGAAAAAUUUGAUAUUCCGAAGUCGCCCAAACAAGAAAAUGCAAAAUGGCUCCAUAGCGCCCCCUAAGGUGAAAAUUCACACUAUUGACUGUCACGCCUGUACGCUUUGUCAAAAUGACACAAAAAUUGACACACACAUGUAUCUCAAUAAGAUCUACAAAAAAGUCAGUGCGGUCGUAUCUGUCAAAUGUACGGUUAAAGGGUUAUUGCGCAUUUUUUGCCGAUCCGCACACAUUGGAAUUUCGCUAACUCCUCCGAAGGCUUUCGUUCCACCGGCACCACAUUUGCUCAGGCCAAUCUACACCCCGUGGCCAUUAAAAGUUAUCAAAAUCAUGACGCUGCACCCCAAGGUUUAGGUUCUAGGGGGCGCCAAAGAUAACACUAAAAUCCACAUAUUUAAAAGUCUUAUAACUUUUUAUUUUUGUCCUCACUGGCCUCCAAGUUUUCUAGGAUGAUGCAAUGUCCAGCCAUCAACACAUUUGUGAAGGAAUUUUUACUCCCCAAAAGAGCGCCCCCCCAUGGCAGGAGAAAAAAGUCCAUUUUUUCUUGUCCCCUAAGGUGAAAAUACACAUUGUUGAGUGUCACGCCUAUACGCUUUGUCAAAAUGACACAAAAAUUGACACACAUAUGUAACUCAAUAAGAUCUACGAAAAAGUCAAUGGGCGCGUAUCUGUCAAAUGUACGGUUAAAGGGUUAUUCCGCAUUUUUUGCCGAUCCGCACACAUUGGAAUGUGGCUAACUCCUCCUAAGGCUUUCGUUCCACCGGCACCACAUUUGCUCAGGCCAAUCUACACCCCAUGGCCAUUAAAAGUUAUCAAAAUCAUGACGCUGCACCCCAAGGUUUAGGUUCUAGGGGGCGCCAAAGAUAACACUAAAAUCCACAUAUUUAAAAGUCUUAUAACUUUUUAUUUUUGUCCUCACUGGCCUCCAAGUUUUCUAGGAUGAUGCAAUGUCCAGCCAUCAACACAUUUGUGAAGGAAUUUUUACUCCCCAAAAGAGCGCCCCCCCAUGGCAGGAGAAAAAAGUCCAUUUUUUCUUGUCCCUUAAGGUGAAAAUACAUAUUGUUGAGAUUCACGCCUAUACGCUUUGUCAUAUUGACACAAAAUUUGACAAUCACGUGCCUUGCCUGGUAUCAUUUUUUUCAGCACAACCUCACCUGUGCGAAUUUACAGUUAUUUUAUCAUGUUGACAUACUGAAUUUACACAAUGGACCCAAAUUCACACACAAAACAUAAAAUCCGAGUGGAAAAAAGUAACAUUUUUACUGUGAAAACCACAAAUAUGUGUGAUGAACUGUUUUUAAAACUUAAACUUCAAAUAAAAAUUGUAAACUUCAAAACAUAUGCAAAUUUUUAACAAAGAACAUAGUGAUUUACCUCUAUUUACAUCAAAAUGCAGGCAAUGGCCCAGGCGUUCUUUGUAAAAUUAUUUACAAAACACUGUAUAGUCUCACAAAUGUCACUUUUUAUUUAUGCCACUACAAAAAAACAUGAUGUAAAUGAUGCAUGAUGUAAAACAUGAUGUAAAAAACUUGUGUAGAUCCUCCUCUAUGUCAGUCCAUGUGUAAUUUUUCCAUAAUUCUUUGUUUUUUGCAGCAUUUUUGUUAGUGUAACUGCAGAUUGUGCUGACAGUGUCUAUGGCACAAAAAAAAAAAAAAAAUUAAAAUGCCUCAACAUGAACCCCUGGUGGUCUCUGAGGGUGAAACCUGCUAACUGCUGCAGCUCUGUCAGCUUCAGUCUCCCAUGCAGAGCUCUGAGCGCAUGUGUGGCUCUGCACCCUUAGCAGCGUUGCUAACUCCUCAGUAAGGAAAGCCUGCUUCAUGUCAGAGUCUCUAAACUCCAGAAGAAGUCGAUAAAAGUCCCUUUCUUUCUAAAAAAAAAGUCGUUAGGGGGUCUUAAAAGUCAUUGAAUCUAACAACAAAGUCGCUAGGUUUGCAACUACGUGUCCCAGACUGCAUCCCUGCUGAGAGUCCCUCCCUCCCUUCUCAUAUUGCAGGAAGAACGUAAGGUCCCGCCCCUUGUCAAUCAGUCACCAUAUAAUUUUGGAUUGGUUGUUGUGGUGAAGUUUUCCACCAAUAGGAGAGAUGUUGUGGUGUGUUUUUUUUUUCUUUUGGCAAGCCUUUUCCGCCUGUAAGAGCUGUCGCUAAUGUCUGCAUGCUAUGUUUUCCUGUCUCAUACAGCGCGAUCGAGCGCCGAACGUGAUCAAAAUAAGCAGAAAAAAAGUAUCGCGGACAUAAUUUAUCAUAACUCUGGUUUUAUUUGGCCUAUCAACACAAUUUAAAAACUGGUAUAUAGGUUGAGGUCCUCACUUUUGAGAUAAGUUGAAACGGAGAGUCAACGAGGCUCCGUCUUGCAGCUACAUCCGGUUAAAUAUGUCAUGUGACUUGAACGCACACACAGACACACACACACACACACACACACACUCAGAGUCUGGUUUUUAGCACCUGCAAAAACAUGCUAUUUACAUAUUUGACAAGAAUGCAGAGGCUCCUUUUGCCCCUGAAAAAAAUCAAAUUUCAAACAUAACUUGACUGGUCAUUUCUCCAAAAGACAACCAUGAAGCUCGAUCCAAACCUGAAGCAGGCAGUUUGUGCAUGUGUACAGUAACCUGAGGGGAGUGAGGUGAGUGCUUCUGAGGAGAACAUGAGCAGUGAAGAUUCACCUUGGAGCUAGAACAGAGACAUGCACAUGAUUAUACAGGGGCAGGGGCUCAAGUUUUUUCCAGUCGUUUAUACAAUAUGGAAAUUAAUGUGAAAUUAAAACACAAAGUAUUAAUAGAAAGGUAAUGACUGUCCUGUGUAGGUGACAGUGAUAUCCAAUAGGCUAGGCACUCAAGAGGCUGGCUGUGGCAAGUGUAAGUGAAAGCAACACGCACUGGCAGGAAGAACAGCAAACGCCGAUGAAGGAAAAGGGUCUUUGCAGUGAUGGGCGUUACCAGAGAGGGCGAUGGCCAGAGGACACAAAUGGGACGGGGAGGCAGCACGUUGGGGGGGGGGGGCCACGCGACACGGCUCGGGCCCGCCAGUGCCCCAACGGGGUCCUAGUUCUUUCUUUCUUCUUUUUCCUCCCCUUUGAACUGGAAAAUGGCCCACUUCCCACUGGCGAAAACUCAUGAAAUUUGGCAGGACGACCGGGCCUGGUGAAAAAUUCGAUAUUCUGAAGUCGCCCAAACAAUAAAAUGCAAAAUGGCUCCAUAGCGCCCCCUAAGGUGGAAAUUCACACUAUUGACUGUCACGCCUGUACGCUUUGUCAUAUUGACACAAAAAUUGACACACAUAUGUAUCUCAAUAAGAUCUACAAAAAAGUCAGUGCGGCCGUAUCUGUCAAAAUUACGGUUAAAGGGUUAUUUCGCAUUUUUUGCCGAUCCGCACACAUUGGAAUUUCGCUAACUCCUCCGAAGGCUUUCGUUCCACCGGCACCACAUUUGCUCAGGCCAAUCUACACCCCGUGGCCAUUAAAAGUUAUCAAAAUCAUGACGCUGCACCCCAAGGUUUAGGUUCUAGGGGGCGCCAAAGAUAACACUAAAAUCCACAUAUUUAAAAGUCUUAUAACUUUUUAUUUUUGUCCUCACUGGCCUCCAAGUUUUCUAGGAUGAUGCAAUGUCCAGCCAUCAACACAUUUGUGAAGGAAUUUUUACUCCCCAAAAGAGCGCCCCCCCAUGGCAGGAGAAAAAAGUCCAUUUUUUCUUGUCCCCUAAGGUGAAAAUACACAUUGUUGAGUGUCACGCCUAUACGCUUUGUCAAAAUGACACAAAAAUUGACACACACAUGUAACUCAAUAAGAUCUACAAAAAAGUCCAUGCGCGCGUAUCUGUCAAAUGUACAGUUAAAGGGUUAUUCCGCAUUUUUUGCCGAUACGCACACAUUGGAAUUUCGCUAACUCCUCCGAAGGCUUUCGUUCCACCGGCACCACAUUUGCUCAGGCCAAUCUACACCCCAUGGCCAUUAAAAGUUAUUCAAAUCAUGAUGCUGCACCCCAUGGUUUAGGUUCUAGGGGGCGCCAAAAAUAACCCAAAAAUCCACAUUCUUAAAUGUUUUAUAACUUUUUAUUUUUGUCCUCACUGGCCUCCAAGUUUUCUAGGAUGAUGCAAUGUCCAGCCAUCAACACAUUUGUGAAGGAAUUUUUACUCCCCAAAAGAGCGCCCCCCAUGGUAGGAGAAAAAAGUCAAUUUUUUCUUGUCCCCUUACAUAAAAAUACACAUUGUUGAGUGUCACGCCUGAACGCUUUGUCAUAUUGACACAAAAAUUGACAAUCAUGUGUAUCUCAAUUAGAUCUACGAAAAAGUCAAAGAGCGCGUAUCUGUAUAAUGUACGGUUAAAGGGCUAUUUUGCAUUUUUUGCCGAUUCGCACACAUUGGAAUGUGGCUAUCUCCUCCUAAGGCUUUCGUCCCACCGAUACCAAAUUUGCUCAGGGCAAUCUACACCCCAUGCCCAUUCAAAGUUGUAAAAAUCAUGACGCUGCACCCCACGGUUUACGUUCUAGGGGGCGCCAAAGAUGACCCAAAAAUCCACAUUCUUAAAAGUCAUUUUGGCCACUGCAGGAGUACAGAGUACUGCAGUUCUAGGGGGCGCCAAAGAUGACCCAAAAAUCCACAUUCUUAAAAGUCUUUUUGGCCACUGCAGGAGUACAGAGUACUGCAGGAUACACACACAUAUACACACACGCCAACAUACACACACACACACACACACACACACACACACACACACACACAGACACACACACACACUCAGAGUCUGUUUUUUAGCACCUGCAAAAACAUGCUGUUUACAUAUUUGACAAGAAUGCAGAGGCUUCCUUUUGCCCCUGAAAAAAAUCAAAUUUCAAACACAACUUGACUGUUCAUUUCUCCAAAAGACAACCAUGAAGCUCCAUUUCAAACCUGAAGCAGAUAGUUGGUGCAUGUGUACAGUAACCUGAGGGGAGUGAGGUGACUAUUUCUGAGGAGAACAUGAGCAGUGAAGAUUCACCUUGGAGCUAGAACAGGGACGUGCACAUGAUUAUACAGGGGCAGGGGCUCAAGUUUUUUCCAGUCAUUUGAACAAUAUGGAAAUUAAUGUGAAAUUAAACCACAAAUAUGUGUGAUGAACUGUUUUUAAAACUUAAACUUCAAAUAAAAAUUGUAAACUUCAAAACAUAUGCAAAUUUUUAACAAAGAACAUAGUAAUUUACCUCUAUUUACAUUAAAAUGCAGGCAAUGGCCCAGGCGUUCUUUGUAAAAUUAUUUACAAAACACUGUAUAGUCUCACAAAUGUCACUUUUUAUUUAUGCCACUACAAAAAAACAUGAUGUAAAUGAUGCAUGAUGUAAAACAUGAUGUAAAAAACUUGUGUAGAUCCUCCUCUAUGUCAGUCCAUGUGUAAUUUUUCCAUAAUUCUUUGUUUUUUGCAGCAUUUUUGUUAGUGUAACUGCAGAUUUUGCUGACAGUGUCUAUGGCACAAAAAAAAAAAAAAAUUAAAAUGCCUCAACAUGAACCCCUGGUGGUCUCUGAGGGUGAAACCUGCUAACUGCUGCAGCUCUGUCAGCUUCAGUCUCCCAUGCAGAGCUCUGAGCGCAUGUGUGGCUCUGCACCCUUAGCAGCGUUGCUAACUCCUCAGUAAGGAAAGCCUGCUUCAUGUCAGAGUCUCUAAACUCCAGAAGAAGUCGAUAAAAGUCCCUUUCUUUCUAAAAAAAGUCGUUAGGGUGUCUGAAAAGUCAUUGAAUCUAACAACAAAGUCGCUAGGUUUGCAACUACGUGUCCCAGACUGCAUCCCUGCUGAGAGUCCCUCCCUCCCUUCUCAUGUUGCAGGAAGAACGUAAGCGCCCGCCCCUUGUCAAUCAGUCACCAUAUAAUUUUGGAUUGGUUGUUGUGGUGAAGUUUUCCACCAAUAGGAGAGAUGUUGUGGUGUGUUUUUUUUUUCUUUUGGCAAGCCUUUUCCGCCUGUAAGACCUGUCGCUAAUGUCUGCAUGCUAUGUUUUCCUGUCUCAUACAGCGCGAUCGAGCGCCGAACGUGAUCAAAAUAAGCAGAAAAAAAGUAUCGCGGACAUAAUUUAUCAUAACUCUGGUUUUAUUUGGCCUAUCAACACAAUUUAAAAACUGGUAUAUAGGUUGAGGUCCUCACUUUUGAGAUAAGUUGAAACGGAGAGUCAACGAGGCUCCGUCUUGCAGCUACAUCAGGUUAAAUAUGUCAUGUGACUUGAACGCACACAUAGACACACACACACGCACACACACACACACACACACACACACACACACACACACACACACACACACUCAGAGUCUGGUUUUUAGCACCUGCAAAAACAUGCUAUUUACAUAUUUGACAAGAAUGCAGAGGCUCCUUUUGCCCCUGAAAAAAAUCAAAUUUCAAACACAACUUGACUGGUCAUUUCUCCAAAAGACAACCAUGAAGCUCCAUCCAAACCUGAAGCAGGCAGUUGGUGCAUGUGUACAGUAACCUGAGGGGAGUGAGGUGAGUGCUUCUGAGGAGAACAUGAGCAGUGAAGAUUCACCUUGGAGCUAGAACAGAGACAUGCACAUGAUUAUACAGGGGCAGGGGCUCAAGUUUUUUCCAGUCGUUUAUACAAUAUGGAAAUUAAUGUGAAAUUAAAACACAAAGUAUUAAUAGAAAGGUAAUGACUGUCCUGUGUAGGUGACAGUGAUAUCCAAUAGGCUAGGCACUCACGAGGCUGGCUGUGGCAAGUGUAAGUGAAAGCAACACGCACUGGCAGGAAGAACAGCAAACGCCGAUGAAGGAAAAGGGUCUUUGCAGUGAUGGGCGUUACCAGAGAGGGCGAUGGCCAGAGGACACAAAUGGGACGGGGAGGCAGCACGUUGGGGGGGGGGACGCGACACGGCUCGGGCCCGCCAGUGCCCCAACGGGGUCCUAGUUAGGGCCCGAGCGUAGCUGCUAAGCAGCUGCGAGAGCCCUAUUAUUCCCCAAGUGGUUUUUCUUUGUUUCUUUCUUAGGGCCCGAGCGUAGCUGCUAAGCAGCUGCGAGAGCCCUAUUAUUCCCCAAGUGGUUUUUCUUUGUUUCUUUUUUCUUUUUCCUCCCCUUUGAACUGGAAAAUGGCCCACUUCCCACUGGCGAAAACUCAUGAAAUUUGGCAGGACGACCGGGCCUGGUGAAAAAUUUGAUAUUCUGAAGUCGCCCAAACAAUACAAUGCAAAAUGGCUCCAUAGCGCCCCCUAAGGUGAAAAAUUCACCUGACGCCUGUACGCUUUGUCAAAAUGACACAAAAAUUGACACACACAUGUAUCUCAAUAAGAUCUACAAAAAAGUCAGUGCGGGCGUAUCUGUCAAAUUUACGGUUAAAGGGUUAUUUCGCAUUUUUUGCCGAUCCGCACACAUUGGAAUUUCGCUAACUCCUUUGAAGGCUUUCGUUCCACCGGCACCACAUUUGCUCAGGCCAAUCUACACCCCAUGGCCAUUAAAAGUUAUUCAAAUCAUGACGCUGCACCCCACGGUUUACGUUCUAGGGGGCGCCAAAGAUAACCCUAAAAUCCACAUAUUUAAAAGUCUUAUAACUUUUUAUUUUUGCCCUCACUGGCCUCCAAGUUUUCUAGGAUGAUGCAAUGUCCAGCCAUCAACACAUUUGUGAAGGAAUUUUUACUCCCCAAAAGAGCGCCCCCCCAUGGCAGGAGAAAAAAGUCCAUUUUUUCUUGUCCCCUAAGGUGAAAAUACACAUUGUUGAGUGUCACGCCUGUACGCUUUGUCAAAAUGACACAAAAAUUGACACACACAUGUAUCUCAAUAAGAUCUACAAAAAAGUCCAUGCGCGCGUAUCUGUCAAAUGUACGGUUAAAGGGUUAUUCUGCAUUUUUUGCCGAUUCGCACACAUUGGAAUUUCGCUAACUCCUCCUAAGGCUUUCGUUCCACCGGCACCACAUUUGCUCAGGCCAAUCUACACCCCAUGGCCAUUAAAAGUUAUUCAAAUCAUGACGCUGCACCCCAUGGUUUACGUUCUAGGGGGCGCCAAAGAUAACCCAAAAAUCCACAUUUUUAAAAGUCUUAUAACUUUUUAUUUUUGUCCUCACUGGCCUCCAAGUUUUCUAGGAUGAUGCAAUGUCCAGCCAUCAACACAUUUGUGAAGGAAUUUUUACUCCCUAAAAGAGCGCCCCCCCAUGGCAGGAGAAAAAAGUCCAUUUUUUCUUGUCCCCUAAGGUGAAAAUACACAUUGUUGACUGUCACGCCUGUACGCUUUGGCAAAAUGACACAAAAAUUGACACACACAUGUAUCUCAAUAAGAUCUACAAAAAAGUCAGUGCUGGCGUAUCUGUCAAAUGUACGGUUAAAGGGUUAUUGCGCAUUUUUUGCCGAUCCGCACACAUUGGAAUUUCGCUAACUCCUCCGAAGGCUUUCGUUCCACUGGCACCACAUUUGCUCAGGCCAAUCUACACCCCAUGGCCAUUAAAAGUUAUUCAAAUCAUGACGCUGCACCCCACGGUUUAGGUUCUAGGGGGCGCCAAAAAUAACCCUAAAAUCCACAUAUUUAAAAGUCUUAUAACUUUUUAUUUUUGUCCUCUCUGGCCUCCAAGUUUUCUAGGAUGAUGCAAUGUCCAGCCAUCAACACAUUUGUGAAGGAAUUUUUACUCCCCAAAAGAGCGCCCCCCCAUGGCAGGAGAAAAAAGUCCAUUUUUUCUUGUCCCAUAAGGUGAAAAUUCACACUAUUGACUGUCACGCCUGUACGCUUUGUCAAAAUUACACAAAAAUUGACACACACAUGUAUCUCAAUAAGAUCUACAAAAAAGUCAGUGCUGGCGUAUCUGUCAAAUGUACGGUUAAAGGGUUAUUGCGCAUUUUUUGCCAAUCCGCACACAUUGGAAUUUCGCUAACUCCUCCGAAGGCUUUCGUUCCACUGGCACCACAUUUGCUCAGGCCAAUCUACACCCCAUGGCCAUUAAAAGUUAUUCAAAUCAUGACGCUGCACCCCACGGUUUAGGUUCUAGGGGGCGCCAAAGAUAACCCUAAAAUCCACAUAUUUAAAAGUCUUAUAACUUUUUAUUUUUGUCCUCUCUGGCCUCCAAGUUUUCUAGGAUGAUGCAAUGUCCAGCCAUCAACACAUUUGUGAAGGAAUUUUUACUCCCCAAAAGAGCGCCCCCCCAUGGCAGGAGAAAAAAGUCCAUUUUUUCUUGUCCCAUUAGGUGAAAAUACACAUUGUUGACUGUCAUACCUGUAUGCUUUGUCAUAUUGACACAAAAUUUGACACACACAUGUAUCCCAAUAAGAUCUACGAAAAAGUCAAUGCGCGCGUAUCUGUAAAAUGUACGGUUAAAGGGCUAUUUUGCAUUUUUUGCCGAUUAGCACACAUUGGAAUGUGGCUAACUCCUCCUAAGGCUUUCGUCCCACUGACAUCAAAUUUGCUCAGGCCAAUCUACACCCCAUGGCCAUUCAAAGUUUUAAAAAUCAUGACGCUGCACCCCACGGUUUACGUUCUAGGGGGCGCCAAAGAUGACCCAAAUAUCCACAUUCUUAAAAGAAUCCACAUCCCCCCCCCCCCCCCCCCCCAAUCCCCCAUCCCCCAUCCCCCAUCCCCCAUGGCAGGAGAAACAGUCAAGUUUUUCCUGCCCAUCACUCAAUGGCUCAAUCGCAUCGCUCUCCCGGCAACACCGUAACGAGGAGCAACUUGCCGUUUGGAUAUAUCCUAGCUGUGUUUGUGCCCUCACUCAUGGUCCAGACUUUUUUCAAAUAGGACAUGUAGUUUGUCUGCAGCGAGUGUUUUGGUAGAAACUGCGCCUCCCAUUCAUUAUAAUGGGAAAUGACCACAGACAAGUGCGCACACCAUCUUUGGACCUUGAGUGUGACGCGAUCGGGAGGGGGAGGCGGUCGCACUGGGGGCGGCGCAACGCGGCUCGGGCCCGCCAGUGCCCCAACGGGGCCCUAGUUUCUUCUUUUUCCUCCCCUUUGAACUGGAAAAUGGCCCACUUCCCACUGGCGAAAACUCAUGAAAUUUGGCAGGAUGACCGGGCCUGGUGAAAAAUUUGAUAUUCCGAAGUCGCCCAAACAAGAAAAUGCAAAAUGGCUCCAUAGCGCCCCCUAAGGUGAAAAUUCACACUAUUGACUGUCACGCCUUUACGCUUUGUCAAAAUGACACAAAAAUUGACAAACAUAUGUAUCUCAAUAAGAUCUACAAAAAAGUCAGUGCGGGCGUAUCUGUCAAAUGUACGGUUAAAGGGUUAUUCCGCAUUUUUUGCUGAUCCGCACACAUUGGAAUUUCGCUAACUCCUCCGAAGGCUUUCUUUCCACCGGCACCACAUUUGCUCAGGCCAAUCUACACCCCAUGGCCAUUAAAAGUUAUUCAAAUCAUGACGCUGCACCCCACGGUUUAGGUUCUAGGGGGCGCCAAAGAUAACCCUAAAAUCCACAUAUUUAAAAGUCUUAUAACUUUUUAUUUUUGCCCUCACUGGCCUCCAAGUUUUCUAGGAUGAUGCAAUGUCCAGCCAUCAACACAUUUGUGAAGGAAUUUUUACUCCCCAAAAGAGCGCCCCCCCAUGGCCGGAGAAAAAAGUCCAUUUUUUCUUGUCCCCUAAGGUGAAAAUACACAUUGUUGAGUGUCACGCCUGUACGCUUUGUCAUAUUGACACAAAAUUUGACACACACAUGUAUCUCAAUAAGAUCUACGAAAAAGUCAAUGCGCGCGUAUCUGUCAAAUGUACGGUUAAAGGGUUAUUCCGCAUUUUUUGCUGAUCCACACACAUUGGAAUUUCGCUAACUCCUCCUAAGGCUGGCGUUCCACUGGCACCACAUUUGCUCAGGCCAAUCUACACCCCAUGGCCAUUAAAAGUUAUUCAAAUCAUGACGCUGCACCCCACGGUUUAGGUUCUAGGGGGCGCCAAAGAUAACCCUAAAAUCCACAUAUUUCAAAGUCUUAUAACUUUUUAUUUUUGUCCUCACUGGCCUCCAAGUUUUCUAGGAUGAUGCAAUGUCCAGCCAUCAACACAUUUGUGAAGGAAUUUUUACUCCCCAAAAGAGCGCCCCCCCAUGGCAGGAGAAAAAAGUCAAUUUUUUCUUGUCCCGUAAGGUGAAAAUUCACAUUGUUGAGUGUGACACCUGUACGCUUUGUCAUAUUAACACAAAAUUUGACAAUCACGUGUAUCUCAAUAAGAUCUACGAAAAAGUCAAUGGGUGCGUAUCUGUCAAAUGUAUGGUUAGAGGGCUAUUUUGCAUUUUUUGCCGAUUCGCACACAUUGGAAUUUCGCUAACUCCUCCGAAGGCUUUCGUUCCACCGGCACCACAUUUGCUCAGGCCAAUCUACACCCCAUGGCCAUUAAAAGUUAUUCAAAUCAUGACGCUGCACCCCACGGUUUAGGUUCUAGGGGGCGCCAAAGAUAACCCUAAAAUCCAUAUAUUUAAAAGUCUUAUAACUUUUUAUUUUUGUCCUCUCUGGCCUCCAAGUUUUCUAGGAUGAUGCGAAUCCAGCCAUCAACACAUUUGUGAAGGAAUUUUUACUCCCCAAAAGAGCGCCCCCCCAUGGCAGGAGAAAAAAGUCAAUUUUUUCUUGUCCCAUAAGGUGAAAAUACACAUUGUUGACUGUCAUACCUGUAUGCUUUGUCAUAUUGACACAAAAUUUGACACACACAUGUAUCUCAAUAAGAUCUACGAAAAAGUCAAUGCGCGCGUAUCUGUAAAAUGUACGGUUAAAGGGCUAUUUUGCAUUUUUUUCCGAUUAGCACACUUUGGAAUGUGGCUAACUCCUCCUAAGGCUUUCGUCCCACUGACACCAAAUUUGCUCAGGCCAAUCUACACCCCAUGGCCAUUCAAAGUUUUAAAAAUCAUGACGCUGCACCCCACGGUUUACGUUCUAGGGGGCGCCAAAGAUGACCCAAAUAUCCACAUUCUUAAAAGAAUCCACAUCCCCCCCCCCCCCAUCCCCCAUCCCCCAUCCCCCAUGGCAGGAGAAACAGUCAAGUUUUUCCUGCCCAUCACUCAAUGGCUCAAUCGCAUCGCUCUCCCGGCAACACCGUAACGAGGAGCAACUUGCCGUUUGGAUAUAUCCUAGCUGUGUUUGUGCCCUCACUCAUGGUCCAGACUUUUUUCAAAUAGGACAUGUAGUUUGUCUGCAGCGAGUGUUUUGGUAGAAACUGCGCCUCCCAUUCAUUAUAAUAGGAAAUGACCACAGACAAGUGCGCACACCAUCUUUGGACCUUGAGUGUGACGCGAUCGGGAGGGGGAGGCGGUCGCACUGGGGGCGGCGCAACGCGGCUCGGGCCCGCCAGUGCCCCAACGGGGCCCUAGUUAUUAUUAUUAUUAUUUUUCCUCCCCUUUGAACUGGAAAAUGGCCCACUUCCCACUGGCGAAAACUCAUGAAAUUUGGCAGGACGACCGGGCCUGGUGAAAAAUUUGAUAUUCCGAAGUCGCCCAAACAAGAAAAUGCAAAAUGGCUCCAUAGCGCCCCCUAAGGUGAAAAUUCACACUAUUGACUGUCACGCCUGUACGCUUUGUCAAAAUGACACAAAAAUUGACACACACAUGUAUCUCAAUAAGAUCUACAAAAAAGUCAGUGCGGGCGUAUCUGUCAAAUGUACGGUUAAAGGGUUAUUUCGCAUUUUUUGCCGAUCCGCACACAUUGGAAUUUCGCUAACUCCUCCGAAGGCUUUCGUUCCACCGGCACCACAUUUGCUCAGGCCAAUCUACACCCCAUGGCCAUUAAAAGUUAUUCAAAUCAUGACGCUGCACCCCACGGUUUAGGUUCUAGGGGGCGCCAAAGAUAACCCUAAGAUCCACAUAUUUAAAAGUCUUAUAACUUUUUAUUUUUGCCCUCACUGGCCUCCAAGUUUUCUAGGAUGAUGCAAUGUCCAGCCAUCAACACAUUUGUGAAGGAAUUUUUACUCCCCAAAAGAGCGCCCCCCCAUGGCAGGAGAAAAAUGUCCAUUUUUUCUUGUCCCCUAAGGUGAAAAUACACAUUGUUGAGUGUAACACCUGUACGCUUUGGCAAAAUGACACAAAAAUUGACACACACAUGUAUCUCAAUAAGAUCUACGAAAAAGUCAAUGCGCGCGUAUCUGUCAAAUGUACGGUUAAAGGGUUAUUCCGCAUUUUUUGCCGAUCCGCACACAUUGGAAUUUCGCUAACUCCUCCGAAGGCUUUCGUUCCACCGGCACCACAUUUGCUCAGGCCAAUCUACACCCCAUGGCCAUUAAACGUUAUUCAAAUCAUGACGCUGCACCCCACGGUUUAGGUUCUAGGGGGAGCCAAAGAUAACCGUAAAAUCCACAUAUUUAAAAGUCUUAUAACUUUUUAUUUUUGUCCCCACUGGCCUCCAAGUUUUCUAGGGUGAUGCAAUGUCCAGCCAUCAACACAUUUGUGAAGGAAUUUUUACUCGGCAAAAGAGCGCCCCCCCAUGGCAGGAGAAAAAAGUCAAUUUUUUCUUGUCCACUAAGGUGUAAAUACACAUUGUUGAGUGCUACGCCUGUAUGUUUUGUCGUAUUGACACAAAAUUUUACAUACACGUGUAUUUCAAUAAGAUCUUCGAAAAAGUCAAUGGCCACGUAUCUGUAAAAUGUACGGUUAAAGGGUUAUUUCGCAUUUUUUGCAGAUUCGCACACAUUGGAAUUUCGCUAAUUCCUCCGAAGGCUUUCGUUCCACCGGCACCACAUUUGCUCAGGCCAAUCUACACCCCAUGGCCAUUAAAAGUUAUUCAAAUCAUGACGCUGCACCCCACGGUUUAGGUUCUAGGGGGCGCCAAAGAUAACCCUAAAAUCCACAUAUUUAAAAGUCUUACAACUUUUUAUUUUUGUCCUCACUGGCCUCCAUGUUUUCUAGGAUGAUGCAAUGUCCAGCCAUCAACACAUUUGUGAAGGAGUUUUUUCUCUUUAAAAGAGCGCCCCCCCAUGGCAGGAGAAUAAAGUCAAGUUUUUCCUGUUCAUCAUUCAAUGGCUCAAACGCACUGCUCUCUCGGCAAAAGCGAAAGGAGGAGCAACUUGCCAUUUGGAUAUAUCUUAGCUGUGUUUGUGCCCUCACUCAUGGUCCAGACUUUUUUCAAGGCAGCACGUUGGGGGGGGGGGCGACACGGCUCGGGCCCGCCAGUGCCCCAACGGGGUCCUAGUUAGGGCCCGAGCGUAGCUGCUAAGCAGCUGCGAGAGCCCUAUUAUUCCCCAAGGGGUUUUUCUUUGUUUCUUUUUUCUUUUUCCUCCCCUUUGAACUGGAAAAUGGCCCACUUCCCACUGGCGAAAACUCAUGAAAUUUGGCAGGACGACCGGGCCUGGUGAAAAAUUUGAUAUUCCGAAGUCGCCCAAACAAGAAAAUGCAAAAUGGCUCCAUAGCGCCCCCUAAGGUGAAAAUUCACACUAUUGAGUGUCACGCCUGUACGCUUUGUCAAAAUGACACAAAAUUUGACACACACAUGUAUCUCAAUAAGAUCUACAAAAAAGUCAGUGCGGGCGUAUCUGUCAAAUGUACGGUUAAAGGGUUAUUUCGCAUUUUUUGCCGAUCCGCACACAUUGGAAUUUCGCUAACUCCUCCGAAGGCUUUCGUUCCACCGGCACCACAUUUGCUCAGGCCAAUCUACACCCCAUGGCCAUUAAAAGUUAUUCAAAUCAUGACGCUGCACCCCACGGUUUAGGUUCUAGGGGGCGCCAAAGAUAACCCUAAAAUCCACAUAUUUAAAAGUCUUAUAACUUUUUAUUUUUGCCCUCACUGGCCUCCAAGUUUUCUAGGAUGAUGCAAUGUCCAGCCAUCAACACAUUUGUGAAGGAAUUUUUACUCCCCAAAAGAGCGCCCCCCCAUGGCAGGAGAAAAAAGUCCAUUUUUUCUUGUCCCCUAAGGUGAAAAUACACAUUGUUGAGUGUCACGCCUGUACGCUUUGUCAAAAUGACACAAAAAUUGACACACACAUGUAUCUCAAUAAGAUCUACAAAAAAGUCCAUGCGCGCGUAUCUGUCAAAUGUACGGUUAAAGGGUUAUUCCGCAUUUUUUGCCGAUUCGCACACAUUGGAAUUUCGCUAACUCCUCCGAAGGCUUUCGUUCCACCGGCACCACAUUUGCUCAGGCCAAUCUACACCCCAUGGCCAUUAAAAGUUAUUCAAAUCAUGACGCUGCACCCCACGGUUUACGUUCUAGGGGGCGCCAAAGAUAACCCAAAAAUCCACAUUUUUAAAAGUCUUUUAACUUUUUAUUUUUGUCCUCACUGGCCUCCAAGUUUUCUAGGAUGAUGCAAUGUCCAGCCAUCAACACAUUUGUGAAGGAAUUUUUACUCCCUAAAAGAGCGCCCCCCCAUGGCAGGAGAAAAAAGUCCAUUUUUUCUUGUCCCCUAAGGUGAAAAUACACAUUGUUGACUGUCACGCAUGUACGCUUUGGCAAAAUGACACAAAAAUUGACAAUCAUGUGUAUCUCAAUUAGAUCUACGAAAAAGUCAAAGAGCGCGUAUCUGUAUAAUGUACGGUAAAAGGGCUAUUUUGCAUUUUUUGCCGAUUCGCACACAUUGGAAUUUCGCUAACUCCUCCUAAGGCUUUCGUCCCACUGACACCAAAUUUGCUCAGGCCAAUCUACACUCCAUGGCCAUUCAAAGUUGUAAAAAUCAUGACGCU